rnacentral:rRNA from 1 species
ACAGGCCGAAGCGGUUCCCUGUGAGUAGACUCCUUAAUUGGGGUUGAAAGCGCCUACGCAUCAACCACAUGCAUACGGGACGUCGGCCAAUGUUACUGUGAACAAACCAGCGUGUCCAAAGCAGGCUUGCCUGAAUGUUCGAGCAUGGAAUAACAAGGGAUCGAUUCUCUCGGUUCUUUUUGUUGGAGAAGGAGUAAUGCAGGCCACGGUGUCUGAGGUGGGUUUCCCUAGGCUUCGGUUUAGGCCCCAUCUAGGCCGUGUCCUUACGGGAUCAAUAGGGACUGACGGGGUCGUACCUACUGCCGCGUCAGAAGUGAAAUUCUUAGAUCGCGGGAAGAGGAACUUCUGCGAAAGCAUUCGACAAGAAUGUCUUCAUUAAUCAAGAACGAGAGUGUGGGGAUCGAAGAUGAUCAGAUACCGUCGUAGUCCACACUGUAAACAAUGCCGUCUCAGGAUUGAGAAGUGAACAGAAUGACUUUCACAGCACUAACCCCUGAAACGAGAAAUCAAAGAUUAUGGGUUCAGGGGGGAGUACAUUCGCAAGGCUGAAACUUAAAGGAAUUGACGGAAUGACACCACAAGGCGUGGAGUAUGCGGCUUAAUUUGACUCAACACGGGGAAUUUUACUAGGUC